AGGCAGUGGACCCAAGCAGUUGGCUCUUGUUCAGCCCAGAAUGGAAGUAUUAGAAAUAAGCCUUUUUUAAAAAAAAAUGGUCUCAUUUAAUUUUGAAAACUUUUAAAUUGAAAAGUGGGUUACAUAGCAUUAGAAUUUGAAGUGUCUUCCCCCUCCAAAGCUGGCCUCCUUCUCCCCAACAGCCACAGUGUCCAAAGUUUUGCCUUCCUUCAACUGGACCUCGUAAAUCUCUUUCUGCAAAACGUACAAUCUUCCUCAAAGAAAAAACUCUAUUAGAGAGUAACAAAGAGCAGAGACUGUGUAUAAUCUUCUUCUGUAUUUCAUUCAGAAAUUAAAGAAAAAAGUGAGACAUUUAAUGGUUUGAGGCAGAUUCAAUUUAGAUUUCCUACCAUGAUUGAAAAAGUAAGUUAGAAAAAAAGCAAAAAAGAAAAACAGUAAUAGGAGUCAAAUUAAUUAUCUCUUGAAAUGACAUUUUAAAAAUACACUUCUGCUAUUUGUUCCUGACUACAGGAGCAGUUUAUUAUAGUCUAUGAGGGAGCAUUAGAGAGUAACAGUCUAUUUGAGAGUAUUAGAGAGUAUUAAAGCAUACAGACUAUAAUUUAGCUUUCUCAUCCAUAAUUUAUUUAUUUUUUUAAAUGAGACUUGUAAAGAUUUGGGGUAGGUUCAGAUUAGAUUAUCUACCACGAUUGGGAAAGUAAGAUGUUUUGAUGGUGAUUAUGAUCGUCUCUUGAAAUAACAUUUUAAAAAUAUGCUUGUGCUAUUUGUCCCUGACUGAAGUAAUAUUGUCUCCCAGGUGACAACAAAACACUGAUCACAGAUGUUUUACGGGCAAAGGUGGCGAGGCGUAUCCAUGCAAAAGUUCUUUCCUACAAGAACCGAGUGGAGCUGCUUUGAUUUCAGCACACAAUCUGAUUUUCCGGGCCUGUUGUUUCCCCCCAGGAGCUGUGGCCUGGUUUUCUUUCCUUUUUACACUUCGUUUCUUGACCCACAAAGCCUCUAGUGGUCAGUAACGUCACUGAAAGCUGUUUCCCCCCUCCAUUCUGCAGUCCUUCAUCAACCUCACUUUACCUCAAGUAACCAAAGUAACUGGGUCGAGAAAAACUUUCCACAGAACACUGCAGGCUGUUUUGCUGCUGGGUUUAUUAACGGCUGGGCCCGAUACAACAUUUGGGGGUUUAUUAAAUUCAUUUAUUUCUUGAGGUAGAUGCACACCGGGACAAGAAGUCUUGUGGCACCAGUUCUGGGCAACCUGCGCUGGUUACCAGUUUGUUUCCAUGCCCAAACAACGUACGAAAUUGCCACACAUUGAGCAUAGAUACUAACUACCUGGGGCACCCACAAAAUUCCCCAUGAAGCGGCCGGGCACCCACAAAUUUCAAUGGCAGGGCCAUGCACACUGCAUAGCACCCACAGCCCCAGGCACCCACUGUUGCACAGCCAAGUUGGCACUCCUGACAUUGAGUGAGGCCAUUGGUCCAUCUCGCUCAGUAUUGACUACACCAGGCAUGUCCAAAAUCCAUUUCGGGGGCCUAAUCCAGCCUGCCGGUCAAUGUGAUCCAGCCCCUGUGGCAGUAUAUGUCCUAGGGUAAAAUUCUAAAAAAUGCUCAACAACUUCAAUCCUAAAAAAAGCACAUGCGUGUUCAAUUCAUCAAAUCUGGCCCUCUUUGAAAGAAGUUUGGGCACCCCUGGUACACUGACUGGCAGCAGCUGUCCAGGGUUUCAGAAAAGGAACAUUCCCAGCCCUAAUUGGAGAUGCCCGAGAAUUGAACCUAGAACUUUCCCCAUGCAAAGCAGGUGCUUUUCCACUGAGCCACAGAGCUGGUUUGGAAAGUUUAAGCAUUAUAUGGGUCGAGGCCACCUAAGGACCACUUUUCUCCAUAUGAACCUGCCCAGAACUGGUAGGUUUCCCAAACACAUUGCCUUCCCAAGUUCUGAAAAUUGAUGUCACAGAUGUGUUCCAUUAACCUUUUUGUAAAAAUAAUCUUAUCAAUCCAGGUCUCUCACCGUUAGUGGCAAAGGAAAUAAUCUGGUCAACAUGGUACAAAAACCAAAAGGGAAGAAGCAAGAAGAACCAUCAUCCGUUCUUCUUCAUAAAUGUACCCAAGACUGUUAUGAAAUCG